GAAACGAGGAGGGAGCUGGGGGCCAGUGAAAUGGUCAACAGAUGAGGUCAUAGUUGAAACUGGACAGAAAGGGAGGGAAAGUAAUUUUGCCAAAGAGGUCAGUAAGAAGUCAGAAGUCAUUGAGUUCAGGAUGGGUCAGUAUCCAGGAAUGGGGGAGGAAGAUAAGAAGAGGCUGGACGGAUAUGAAGCAUGAAUCAAGAAAAGUGAAAAAGGAGGGAAAUGAAGGCAAAGCUAAAAGCUACUAACAGAAUGAGUUCACCCAUGCCCAAUUUAAUUCACGUGAUUUAAAAAAGCAUUUGCUACAAGUAGCUUGGCAUAGUGAAGAGAGAGCUGGUCUCCGAGGUCAGGAAGACCAGAUUCAAGGACUGCCAAAUCCACAUACCUGGGAGCCUGGGGAAGGCACAUAUCUUCUCAAUGUCUUAGACAUCUCUAAGAGCAUGAGUGGCAGAAUUAAGGGCUGGUCUGCAAUGCUAGAGGGAGAUUCUUACUGGGUGACUGACUGCUGCCUAUACCAAUCAAAUCAUGCAUGUCUGGUCAAAAAUGAAAAGGCAUUUGUUAAACAUCUACUGCAUGCUAGAUGCUAAGAAUACAAAAACAAAUGAAACAGCCUCUGCCCAUGAAAAGCUUAGAUUCUGCUGGGGAGGAGGGGGAGAAAGGGAGAAAAUAUACACAGAGAAAAAUUCCUAAAUGAAAACCAUUUAUUCAACGACAUGAGAGGAUCAUCAAUGACUUGCUGUGGAAACUGAGGUGGCGGAAUAGAAGCAAACAUCUGCCACUGGGGCAACCGGCCAAUGGUGCUGAAUAAGACAGUGCACCUUUGAACAAUACCCUCCUCUCAUGCAAGCUCUCUUCAAGCCAAGACUAAGGGUCGAGCCCUGGGACCACCAUACAUUUCAAUGGAAGGUUAAUCUUUUUAUUGCCCAAGGAAAGAAAUCCAGCAAUUCUGCAGCAGAGCUAACAGGGAACCAUCUCUUAUUGAAGUGUCACUCUGCCUGGAACAGUCACUGGCAUAUCGUCACCACCUACUGGCAUUGAAUGAAUUUCUUUGUAAAGCCUUCCAUUAGGAGCCCUUGCACUCUGAGUUGCUUUUCCUCGGAUUUGCACUGAUCCAUCUCUUCUACAUGACCCCCUUUUCCUUCAUCCUGCUGCCAACUCCCAUGUCAACAGCAUAUUGUAGCCGUCCUAGCCCACACUGGCCAUACACGCUGCCCUGACCUGAAGCUUUGAAUUGUUUGUGUGCCUUGUCUUUUGUACCUUCCAAUACUUACGUAAAAAAAAAAAUCAACUAAUGAUCAACUACUAUAUGUCAACUACUAUUCUAAGUCCUGGGGAUAGGGAAAAAAAAAACCCAUGAAAGACAGUCCUUGCCCUUGUAGAACAUGUCACAAUCAAAUGGGGGAGACACCAUUGAUAACUAUGUCUAAACAAACUAUGUACAAGAUAAAUAGGAAGUAAUAAGCAAAGAAAAGGAAGGAAAAGUAGGAGGGUUUGGGAAAGGCUUCCUCUAGAAGGUGGGAGGUGUGGAGAAGCAGCCUGGUAUGGAGGAUACAGCCCUCGAUUUAGACUCAGGAAGAUCUAAUUUUAUAUCCAACUUCAGAUACUUAUGCAAUUCCAGACAAGUCAUUUAACCUCUCCAUGCCUCAGUUUUGUCAUUUGUAAAAUAAGGGCAUUGGAUUUGAUGACCUCAGAGGUUCCUUCCAGCUCUAAAUCUAUGAUCUCAUGUUAGAGGUCCUAGUUCCCCCUGAAGGAGAAUGUUUACCUCUGCUAUAGUGCUGGUCUCCAAUAAAGGAUCUGGGAAAGGAUCA
ensembl:lncRNA